UUCGCAAUGCCCGAAAGGGUGACGAAGCGACGCCGCGUGAGUGAGGAAGGCCUUCGGGUUGUAAAGCUCUGUCAGGAGUUAAGAAAUGUAAGUGUGUUAAUACCACAUUUAUUUGACGAAGGCUCCAAAGGAAGUCACGGCUAACUCUGUGCCAGCAGCCGCGGUAAUACAGAGGUGGCAAGCGUUGUUCGGAAUUAUUGGGCGUAAAGAGCACGUAGGUGGGUUUGUAAGUCAGAUGUGAAAGCCUUCUGUUCAACGGAAGAAUUGCAUCUGAAACUGCGAGUCUUGAGUGUAGGAGGGGAGAAUGGAACUUCUGGUGGAGCGGUGAAAUGCGUAGAUAUCAGAAGGAACGCCGGCGGGGAAAGCGAUUCUCUGGCCUAUUACUGACACUCAGUGUGCGAAAGCUAGGGGAGCAAACGGGAUUAGAUACCCCGGUAGUCCUAGCCGUAAACGAUGGGCACUAAGUAGAGGGGUUUU
rnacentral:rRNA from 1 species